CACCAGACUCCUACGGGAGGCAGCAGUGGGGAAUAUUGGGCAAUGGGCGCAAGCCUGACCCAGCAACGCCGCGUGAAGGAAGAAGGCUUUCGGGUUGUAAACUUCUUUUCUCAGGGACGAAGAAAGUGACGGUACCUGAGGAAUAAGCCACGGCUAACUACGUGCCAGCAGCCGCGGUAAUACGUAGGUGGCAAGCGUUAUCCGGAUUUAUUGGGUGUAAAGGGCGUGUAGGCGGGAACGCCAGUCAGAUGUGAAAACUCAGGGCUCAACCCUGAGCCUGCAUUUGAAACUGUGUUUCUUGAGUGCUGGAGAGGGAAGCGGAAUUCCGUGUGUAGCGGUGAAAUGCGUAGAUAAACGGAGGAACCCCAGUGGCGAAGGCGGAUUGCUGGACAGUAACUGACGCUGAGGCGCGAAAGCGUGGGG
rnacentral:rRNA from 1 species